rnacentral:tRNA from 1 species
CAUCAAGCGCAUUGAGUAUGAGUGAAAGCCAAAGGAUAUGAUUGGGGAUAUAGCUCAGCUGGGAGAGCGCCUGCCU